rnacentral:lncRNA from 1 species
GCAUUGGUGACAGUUGCAGAACGUCAUGCUUGGGGCAGCAGUAGGAUGAUGGCUGCAGCAGAAGACAGUGCCCAUGGCAACAACGUCAGUAGUGGGAACUGCCUCUUCCAGUGUUUGGUGGCAGCAGCAGUGGUGUCCUCAUCCAACUCGGUCCUCGGCGUGAUUUUGAGAAUUAGUUCUGGCAGCAUAAGCUUCUGAGCCUGGUUCUCCAGAAUCUCCCGGCAAUUCUGUGACCUGCCCAAUAUCCUUUUUUAGAAACUCCUUUUUUUCUCAAAUCAAACAGAGUCUGUUUCUGUAACUUGCAACGUGGAACCCUAUCUGGUAUAGGGCUAAAUCCUGGCGGACCGGGUAGAACUUUCCAAUAUCAUCUGCAGGCAGCAGGGAACCGUUUACAAUUUUUAAGGGGAUUGCGACAAUCCCAGAGGUACUCUAAGAAGAUCAAACGGUCAGCAGCAUGUAGCACGAACUGGAGGAAGAUGAAGCCCACAGGGCUCACCCUCCUUCUAACUCUGCCAGGAGACCAAGUCCUUCCGGCUGUCAAUUAACCACUAUCAACGCCUAGAUCUGUCAGGAAAGUGUUAUCUGGCUGCGGGCAUGACAGAAAGAAAAAGGAAGCAAGAGGAGUCAGCUAG